rnacentral:rRNA from 1 species
AAAACUUUCAACAACGGAUCUCUUGGUUCCGGCAUCGAUGAAGAACGCAGCGAAAUGCGAUAAGUAAUGUGAAUUGCAAAAUUCAGUGAAUCAUCGAAUCUUUGAACGCAUAUUGCGCCCCUUGGAAUUCCGACGGGCAUACCUGUUCGAGCGUCAUUG